rnacentral:tRNA from 1 species
GCCGAUGUAGCUCAGUUGGUAGAGCAACGCAUUCGUAAUGCGUAGGUCCGCGGUUCGAGUCCGCGCAUCGGCACCA